CGCGGCCAGGCCGCCGCCCGAGGAGUCAUCCACCGCCUGAAGAGUCACGCGCCGCCGCCCCGGGAGUGAUGCGCCCUCUGCAGAGAUCCCUCCGCCGCCGCCUGGAAUUUUCCACACGCUCUGCCGGCCUUCUUUCUGACUUCUCCAGGGCGGGGUGACCUCAAGCAACCCGGCAUUCCCCUUCGCCCCCUCGGGAGAGCGGCCCCAGCCCGCCUACCCCAUCCACCCCCUCUCUCAGGGAACAGUUUCCCCCUCGCCACCACCACCAUCAGAAAAAAAAAAGGGGACUCCCCCCCCACCCCAGUGGAAUCCGCUUCCCAAAGACAAAGGGUUGUGAACCUGCCUGGGGAUGAGGCCUGGUCUUGUGGAAACAACUUAGCCACGCGGGGCUGACGGCUCUGGCCCAGGGUGGUAUGUAAUUUUUGACUCGGCCUGGGACAGGGUCCAGACCAGACCCACCCUGGUGGAACCCAGGUCUGGGUGUGAGGCCAAGACCCCUGGUCGGUGGUGAGGGUGGUCUCAAGAGUGAGGUAAGGUGCCAUCCUAAGCGGUUACUGUUGUGGCGCCUGAUGUGUCAGGCGGGGGCUGCAGAGGCAGGACAUUUGUGGACAAAAUUGACCCACGGUUUAUUUUCCAGGUGGCAGUGCUUCCCUUUGGACUUUUCCUCUAGGUUCGGUGCUAACCUCUCCUGUGAGCUCACUCUGCCCCUCCUCCUCCCUUUAACUCUCUCGAGGUUAUCCAUUCACUUAAAACCUUGCUUCUGGUAAUCUGGUAAGCCUGGGAAAGUUGCCGAAGUUGCUGUUGGAGUCGGUAUUGUUGGUAAUUUUGGAGGAGGAAAGGCUCUCCCUGCCGAGACUCUGGGUGGGGCGGGUUGGUGUUGCUUGCCUGGUGGAGAGGGUGGGUAUUGAAUGCACCCUUGGGUGGGGCCACAGCGAUGGUACCCCUUGAAAGUUACUGAAGUGCCUCAUGGACCGUGGUUUAUUGCUGUAGUGCUCAUCAUGGCGAUCAGAUGGCACCAGGAGAAAUGGAGCCCCUGGCCAGUGUGAGUCGUAGCAGUGCAGGAGGGGAGAGCCUGAAGGAGAAAGCCCGCCUAUAUUGAUGCCUGCAGAUUUAAUUUCCAGAGUCUUAGGAGGAGGAAGUUCUCCAGUGUCAUGGUUCCAGGCCUUGCUCAGGAGGCCAUCGUUUGAGGUUUUCAGACUGCCCCCUUUUGAGGGGACAGUCUUAAAAAGUCCAAAGCAGAUGCACCAGGGGCCACCAGCAGAUGUGUGUAUUUGAAUUUUGAUCCGGGAGCACCAACCUCCGGGCACAUGAAUGCCAGCAGGCAACCCUCCUUUUCUGGGUGGAGGUUUUCAGAUGCUGCAUCUUCUUAAUUGAGCCUCCUGUCAUACUAGUUCUGUACUACGAACCUUGCUUCCAGAAGAUUCUUAAGCUAUAGAACAUUUUAAUGUUGAUGCCACAACGCAAAGUGAUGCCUUGUAGAUGGAGCUGGCAGAUGGAGCCCCGUGACCCUCUCACCUACUCACCCACCUACCUGCCUGCCUGUGCAUUGGUUGGAGGAAUCUUAGUGUGAUAAAAACUAUGGGGGAAAUGUUCGUUUGAAAUGCCUUUAGGCAAAUACUUGGAUGAAGUAAAUGUGUUAUGCUGCCGUCUGGGAGGGGACGAGUUGGUCAUGCCCAAAUUCUGUUAGUAAUGUCAGGUCUAUUUUGGGCAUUUCGACUGCAUUGCAGAUGACUAAGAAGAAAACAGUUGGGAUACCAAUAGUGA